GACCGAGUGCGCGAGCGGACAUGACGUGUGGCUGUCGUAAAAACCCUAUUUGUAAACAACCAGCCCUUUAACUCGGGGCUGCGUCAUAAACACGGCGCGCUUGGAAGACCACGAUGUCAUCUUCCUUCUGUCAGGAGGAUCCAAGUGAAGCUACAGGAGUUUCAUUAACGUCAACAACUUGGACCAAACAGUUUGUUUUGCUUGAUGAAGAGCAGGAAGGGCAGCCUGGAGAGAAAGAGAAGCCGGGUUGAGCCCACUACCAUCAUCCACGUACCACGAGGAAGAUGAGGGAGAGAAAUGAUCCUACCAUUAAAGAGACUGUGAAAAGAACGUUGAGAACAUCACCACUCUACAGGAAGACACAGUCCAGUAAUGGGUGUCAGAAGUUCAGUAGUGAACGACAGGUACUGUGGAAAAAUAUGUGUCAUUGUUGUACAAUGUCCUUUGACUCUGUUUAAACAAGGUUAACACAAAAAGGUUUGAUUGUAAACUGAUAUCGGUAUGAAUUCAUGUUAUUCUCCUCGUCAAAAGAAACAAACAAUCCAAAUUACCUGCAGAAAGCCCUUGAUGGACGCUUCAGCUGCAUCGUCAGACUGGCAGUACUGAUGCAUUUACUGAGAGGGGACGUGAGGGCCUACUCUGCGUGCUCAGAGUUCAAGCCCAGCAGGCUGCAGCGGGCCUGACAUAUUCUGGAACAGCAGCACAGUCUUUGGAUGACUCCUCUGAAGAUGAAAACAUGGCGAGAUGGUUCCCUCUGAUUUUUUUUUAACAUAAACGUCAGACAGGCCACUAAAAACUAAAAAUGCUGAAGCUAACAGCUACCACACAGCAAGCUAAUGCCUUCCUAAGGCUGCCAGGGAGUAGCAUGAGUAGCCUUGUAGCAAGAGAGUGUAGCUAAUCACAGCCCUCACAGUUCUUCAUCAGUGGAGAAGUACCUCGCCAUGUUUUCAUCUUCAGAGGAGUCAUCCAAAGACUGUGCUGCUGUUCCAGAAUAUGUCAGGCCCGCUGCAGCCUGCUGGGCUUGAACUCUGAGCACGCAGAGUAGGCCCUCACGUCCCCUCUCAGUAAAUGCAUCAGUACUGCCUGAGAAUAUAUGAUAAAAGACAAAAACGUCUCAAUUGUGCGUUUGUGUGUAUGUAUACAUACACACAUACAAGGCUUUCUUUUCUACAGAAAUAUUUUUCCUGAGUUGAUGACUCUGCUUAUUGCCAUCUAGAAUGUGAAACCAAAUAUAUUUUUUGGUGUACCCAUACAAGAUGUCCAAUGUAACACCAAUAAAAUCCAAUCUACUACA